rnacentral:lncRNA from 1 species
AAAUAAUAGGUGCCAUCUUCUCCUUUAUGUCAUCCUUCAUUAUCAUCAACACGACCUCCUGUAUUGUUUCAUCAAUUUUCAGCAAUGUAUCAUUCAGAAGACACUUCUAAAGAGGAUUUACAAGUGCUAAAAAUGUGAGUAUUUUGCUUUGGAACUUAAACUACAAGUAAAAGUAUUAUGCAUCAAAUGUUUUACUUUGUGUUUUUUCAUUGUUUUUUUUGUUUAAAAAAAGUAAAAGUAUUAUGUACUUUGUUAUGUUGUUAAAAUGUGUAAACUAAGUAUAUUUGUGCUCAACUGAGAUUAAUCCCUCAACAUUUGAUAUGCGCGCAACUUUUCUUUGGACCAGGGAUGGCAAAAAAAAAAAAAAAAAAGCAGUGCACACGGGUACCGAUCAAUAAAAUUCGUCACGGGCACGGGGAUGGUAGCUAAACGGAUAUCCACGUGUAUAUUAAAUAAGUAUUUGACUACCCAUUGUUUUAUAGAUACAGACACAGAUUUGCUGAUACCCGUUUCCGCGGAUACCCAUACCCGAUAAUAGAGUUCAAAACAGAAAUAGGCAGUUUAUAACUAAUUUAUUCAGAAUUCAUCGCAAUAUGAAUUUGUUAAGUGUAAAAUUUAACAUUAAAUGCAUAACUAAAUCUUUAAAUCAAACAUAACCGAAUACAAACAUUUCCUAAAAAAUAAGAGAGAACAAUUUGGGUUCUAUAUACAAACAAGAGUGGAAAAGGUACC